CAGUAGCCGCGGUAAUACGGAGGAUCCGAGCGUUAUCCGGAAUUAUUGGGUUUAAAGGGUGCGUAGGCGGAUAGAUAAGUCAGUGGUGAAAGACGGUGGCUCAACCAUCGCAGUGCCGUUGAUACUGUUUAUCUUGAAUAUGGAUGAGGUAGGCGGAAUGUGGCAAGUAGCGGUGAAAUGCAUAGAUAUGCCACAGAACACCGAUUGCGAAGGCAGCUUACUAAGGUAUGAUUGACGCUGAUGCACGAAAGCGUGGGGAUCAAACAGGAUUAGAUACCCGUGUAGUCCCUGUCUCUUAUAC
rnacentral:rRNA from 1 species